CUUUUUGCUUGUUGCCUGGUUGGAUGAAGAGGCUUCAAAGGAAGCCCAGCUGCUAAUGAGGAAGUCCCUGAAUGAUUCAGUGAUGCAGAUUCUCAUCCCUACUCCUACCUACCUGUACUCUACCGUCAUUCACAUGACAGAGAGGGAGAGAGAGAAAAACCACCACCACCACCACCACCACACCUACAGCAAAAACCCUUUAUUUUAUUAAGGCACUGAGAUUCAACAGAUUUUUUUUCAGUUGCUAGUCUAACCUGGCGAAUAUACAUUACUCUUUUCUAUUCUACAAUUUUAUUAGAUCUUCAUUCUAAAGAUCCAGGGUAAAUGUUUUAAGGGCAAAACUAGGAAACAAACACAGGGGAAAAUCAAAGAGUGAUUCAUCACAUCAAAAUCCAACCCUGCUUUCAGAUAUGGUAAUAAAAACCCCUUAAAAUGGAAUAGGUCUCUUGGACUUUCUUUGCACAGACAAGAUGACACCACAGAUCUCUGCAUGCCUUGGUGCCAAACUAAUACAAUACAGUAAGUGUAAGACUCGGGUAAAAUUUAAAGUAAACACUAAAGAUGGGUAGGUCAAUUACCCCCAGAGUAUUAAUUAAAGGCCCUUCUCAGGCCACUAGAAAUACAAAGGAAUCUGUCACAGAGACAAGAAAAGGGAACUGCAACCAACUCUUAUCCGUCCUCGGUCUCUGUGCCUUUCGCAGAGCUUCCAGCAGCGCUAUGUUGGGCCAGAGCAUCAGGAGGUUCACAACCUCUGUGGUCCGUAGGAGCCACUAUGAGGAGGGCCCUGGGAAGAAUUUGCCAUUUUCAGUGGAAAACAAGUGGUCGUUACUAGCUAAGAUGUAUCUGUACUUUGGAUCUGCAUUUGCUACACCCUUCCUUGUAGUAAGACACCAACUGCUUAAAACAUAAGGAUGUUUCGGUCCCUCCAUUUAACAGAUAUGAAGAGCAUUUUAAGAGGUGCAGCCUCUGGAAGUGGAUCAAACUAGAACUCAUAUGCCAUACCAGAUAUGUUUGUCAAUAAACUUAUGACAUG